AAAUAGUAUGGAACUGUACCACUAUACCCCUGUUCUCCCAUAAUUUUGUAAGGCAAUAUUAAAUCACUAAUAAAUAAAAAGAAAACAGAACCUACAAAUAAAUUAAGUUUAAGAGUAAAUAAAACUGAGUAUCUUAACCUUUUUUUUGUCACCAUAGUUAUUAUGGAGUCUCAGUGCCAGUUUUAUGAAGCCACUGCUCCCAGCGGCCAUUUUUCCUUUUUUUUUUUAAUGUCUUUUUUUCUAAUCAAACAGGACAGAGAGAAAUUGAAAGUGGGAGUGAGGAAGACAGGGAGAGACAAAGGGAAACACCUGAAGAUCUACUUUACUGCUUCUGAAGCUUCCUGGCCCCCUGCAGGGCGAUGUCCUCAACGUGCACCCACGUCGGAGCAGGUGUCAGAAUUGUCUUCCUUGCAAGCUCACAUUAUGGAAAAUUGUGUGGCAAAUCCUUAGGAAAAUAAAAAUGGAAGUACUUUAUAA